rnacentral:rRNA from 1 species
GACGAACGCUGGCGGCGUGCUUAACACAUGCAAGUCGAACGGAAAGGCCCUGCUUUUGUGGGGUGCUCGAGUGGCGAACGGGUGAGUAACACGUGAGUAACCUGCCCUUGACUUUGGGAUAACUUCAGGAAACUGGGGCUCAUACCGGAUAGGAGCUCCUGCUGCAUGGUGGGGGUUGGAAAGUUUCGGCGGUUGGGGAUGGACUCGCGGCUUAUCAGCUUGUUGGUGGGGUAGUGGCUUACCAAGGCUUUGACGGGUAGCCGGCCUGAGAGGGUGACCGGCCACAUUGGGACUGAGAUACGGCCCAGACGCCUACGGGAGGCAGCAGUGGGGAAUAUUGCACAAUGGGCGGAAGUCUGAGGCAGCAACGCCCCGUGCGGGAUGACGGCCUUCGGGUUGUAAACCGCUUUCGCCUGUGACGAAGCGUGAGUGACGGUAAUGGGUAAAGAAGCACCGGCUAACUACGUG